CCUACGGGUGGCAGCAGUGGGGAAUAUUGGACAAUGGGGGGAACCCUGAUCCAGCCAUGCCGCGUGUGUGAAGAAGGCCCUCGGGUUGUAAAGCACUUUCAGUGAGGAAGAACGCCUGGUGGUUAAUACCCAUCAGGAAAGACAUCACUCACAGAAGAAGCACCGGCUAACUCCGUGCCAGCAGCCGCGGUAAUACGGGAGGGUGCGAGCGUUAAUCGGAAUUACUGGCGUAAAGCGCGCGUAGGUGGCUUGAUAAGCCGGUUGUGAAAGCCCCGGGCUCAACCUGGGAACGGCAUCCGGAACUGUCAAGCUAGAGUGCAGGAGAGGAAGGUAGAAUUCCCGGUGUAGCGGUGAAAUGCGUAGAGAUCGGGAGGAAUACCAGUGGCGAAGGCGGCCUUCUGGACUGACACUGACACUGAGGUGCGAAAGCGUGGGUAGCAAACAGGAUUAGAUACCCUUGUAGUC
rnacentral:rRNA from 1 species